rnacentral:rRNA from 1 species
UACGGAGGGGGCUAGCGUUGUUCGGAAUUACUGGGCGUAAAGCGCACGUAGGCGGCUUUGCAAGUUAGAGGUGAAAGCCCAGGGCUCAACCCCGGAAUUGCCUUUAAAACUGCAUCGCUAGAAUUGUGGAGAGGUAAGUGGAAUUCCGAGUGUAGAGGUGAAAUUCGUAGAUAUUCGGAAGAACACCAGUGGCGAAGGCGACUUACUGGACACAUAUUGACGCUGAGGUGCGAAAGCGUGGGGAGCAAACAGG